rnacentral:rRNA from 1 species
UAGCCAUGGGCAGGUUGAAGGUUGGGUAACACUAACUGGAGGACCGAACCGACUAAUGUUGAAAAAUUAGCGGAUGACUUGUGGCUGGGGGUGAAAGGCCAAUCAAACCGGGAGAUAGCUGGUUCUCCCCGAAAGCUAUUUAGGUAGCGCCUCGUGAACUCAUCUUCGGGGGUAGAGCACUGUUUCGGCUAGGGGGCCAUCCCGGCUUACCAAACCGAUGCAAACUCCGAAUACCGAAGAAUGUUAUCACGGGAGACACACGGCGGGUGCUAACGUCCGUCGUGAAGAGGGAAACAACCCAGACCGCCAGCUAAGGUCCCAAAGUCAUGGUUAAGUGGGAAACGAUGUGGGAAGGCAUAGACAGCCAGGAUGUUGGCUUAGAAGCAGCCAUCAUUUAAAGAAAGCGUAAUAGCUCACUGGUCGAGUCGGCCUGCGCGGAAGAUGUAACGGGGCUAAACCAUGCACCGAAGCUGCGGCAGCGACGCUUAGGCGUUGUUGGGUAGGGGAGCGUUCUGUAAGCCGUUGAAGGUGGCCUGUGAGGGUUGCUGGAGGUAUCAGAAGUGCGAAUGCUGACAUAAGUAACGAUAAAGCGGGUGAAAAGCCCGCUCGCCGGAAGACCAAGGGUUCCUGUCCAACGUUAAUCGGGGCAGGGUGAGUCGACCCCUAAGGCGAGGCUGAAAAGCGUAGUCGAUGGGAAACAGGUUAAUAUUCCUGUACUUGGUGUUACUGCGAAGGGGGGACGGAGAAGGCUAGGCUAGCCGGGCGACGGUUGUCCCGGUUUAAGCGUGUAGGGGGUGUGACCUGGUAAAUCCGGUUACAUAUCAACCCUGAGGCGUGAUGACGAUGCACUACGGUGCAGAAGUAGUUGAUGCCCUGCUUCCAGGAAAAGCCUCUAAGCUCCAGGUAACAUUGAAUCGUACCCCAAACCGACACAGGUGGUCAGGUAGAGAAUACCAAGGCGCUUGAGAGAACUCGGGUGAAGGAACUAGGCAAAAUGGUGCCGUAACUUCGGGAGAAGGCACGCUGGCAUGUAGGUGAAGUCCCUUGCGGAUGGAGCUGAAGCCAGUCGAAGAUACCAGCUGGCUGCAACUGUUUAAUAAAAACACAGCACUGUGCAAACACGAAAGUGGACGUAUACGGUGUGACGCCUGCCCGGUGCUGGAAGGUUAAUUGAUGGGGUCAGCCGCAAGGCGAAGCUCUUGAUCGAAGCCCCAGUAAACGGCGGCCGUAACUAUAACGGUCCUAAGGUAGCGAAAUUCCUUGUCGGGUAAGUUCCGACCUGCACGAAUGGCGUAAUGAUGGCCAGGCUGUCUCCACCCGAGACUCAGUGAAAUUGAACUCGCUGUGAAGAUGCAGUGUACCCGCGGCAAGACGGAAAGACCCCGUGAACCUUUACUAUAGCUUGACACUGAACAUUGAGCCUUGAUGUGUAGGAUAGGUGGGAGGCUUUGAAGCGUGGACGCCAGUCUGCGUGGAGCCAUCCUUGAAAUACCACCCUUUAAUGUUUGAUGUUCUAACUCGGCCCCAUAAUCUGGGGUGAGGACAGUGUCUGGUGGGUAGUUUGACUGGGGCGGUCUCCUCCCAAAGAGUAACGGAGGAGCACGAAGGUUAGCUAAUCACGGUCGGACAUCGUGAGGUUAGUGCAAAGGCAUAAGCUAGCUUGACUGCGAGAGUGACGGCUCGAGCAGGUACGAAAGUAGGUCUUAGUGAUCCGGUGGUUCUGAAUGGAAGGGCCAUCGCUCAACGGAUAAAAGGUACUCCGGGGAUAACAGGCUGAUACCGCCCAAGAGUUCAUAUCGACGGCGGUGUUUGGCACCUCGAUGUCGGCUCAUCACAUCCUGGGGCUGAAGUAGGUCCCAAGGGUAUGGCUGUUCGCCAUUUAAAGUGGUACGCGAGCUGGGUUUAGAACGUCGUGAGACAGUUCGGUCCCUAUCUGCCGUGGGCGUUGGAAGAUUGAGAGGGGUUGCUCCUAGUACGAGAGGACCGGAGUGAACGCACCACUGGUGUUCGGGUUGUCAUGCCAAUGGCAUUGCCCGGUAGCUAAGUGCGGAAAAGAUAAGCGCUGAAAGCAUCUAAGCGCGAAACUUGCCUCAAGAUGAGUCUUCCCUGGGCCUUUAAGGCCCCUGAAGGAACGUUUAAGACUAAGACGUUGAUAGGCUGGGUGUGUAAGUGCAGCGAUGCAUUGAGCUAACCAGUACUAAUGAUCCGUGAGGCUUAACCUU